AGGCUGUUGUACGAGACAGACAAUCAUCAUGAGGGGAGAAUUUCCUGCUUAAUGCCUCUUCACAAUAUUUGUUGCGCAGAUACAUUAUAAACCACAUUUCCCUUUGUUUUUCAUAUAUCCUGCCAGUACUGGCUAAUACCUUCUUGUCCGGGGAUUUAAACUCAUCUUGAGCAGGCCUCUUCUGGGAGUUUAGGGUAAUCUGACUCUCCGUCCUGAGUAAGUUAAUAAGAGCUCAAAGCCGCAUAUACAUCCAGAGACCAAGUGGUCUUCAGGGGUCCUUCCUGGGUGGCAGCCUACCUGAGCUGGACAGUCACAAUCUUCUAGCCCAUUUCUUUUUCAUUAUCUGAGCCAGAUUUCUUUACAAUAUCUGUGGAGGUGGAUUAUAAGAGGGUAAGCCCUGAUUCCUGUGGUCAGUCUCUUCACAGGGAUGCAGAAGGGCCCAGAGGACCAGGUCAGCAGCUUUUGAAAACAUCCCCCAAAGGACACGAUGAAACUGUCUCCCUUGAUUCACCUAAGACCAAGCCUAAGUGAGGGGAUCCUAAGUGAGGCGGGCCUAUUGACCGGGCUCUGUCUGGCCUGGACACACGGAACUGUUGCAGCCACUUAAGGAAUCUUGGCAGGUCUCUCUUCAUCUAUGAAAAUGACGGAUUUGAGACAGUGACUCUCUAGGAUCCUUCCCGGUCCUGAAACUCUGUUGCCUGCUCCCCAGAGGUUACCUCUCUCGGGCUGGAGAGAUUUGGAGGCACUUGCACAGUGCCCUCAGUGUCAGGGCAAGUGAUUGGGGGUGACUGAUCCUCGCCCAAAAGCAAACAAAUGGCCACCGUGGAAUCUACGGACAGCCCUCUGCUCGGGUUGGGUACAGCUUUUCCCCAGACUCUUCCAUGUUCCUCUUACUCUGUCCUCAGGUCUUUCUGCAACUUGCUCAACUGGUGUUUUCCUUCCUCCUCUUAUUUUUCCCAGAACCGUGCCCCACGUCCAGCCAGGAUUCUGGGUCCCAGAAUCAGCUUUUCUUCAACGUGCAUCAGAUUUUUAGUCCUGAGUGGCUGCAAGGGGGCCUGUCCAUUAUGA
rnacentral:lncRNA from 12 species